rnacentral:rRNA from 1 species
UAGGGAAUCUUCGGCAAUGGACGGAAGUCUGACCGAGCAACGCCGCGUGAGUGAAGAAGGUUUUCGGAUCGUAAAGCUCUGUUGUAAGAGAAGAACGAGUGUGAGAGUGGAAAGUUCACACUGUGACGGUAUCUUACCAGAAAGGGACGGCUAACUACGUGCCAGCAGCCGCGGUAAUACGUAGGUCCCGAGCGUUGUCCGGAUUUAUUGGGCGUAAAGCGAGCGCAGGCGGUUAGAUAAGUCUGAAGUUAAAGGCUGUGGCUUAACCAUAGUAGGCUUUGGAAACUGUUUAACUUGAGUGCAAGAGGGGAGAGUGGAAUUCCAUGUGUAGCGGUGAAAUGCGUAGAUAUAUGGAGGAACACCGGUGGCGAAAGCGGCUCUCUGGCUUGUAACUGACGCUGAGGCUCGAAAGCGUGGGGAGCAAACAGGAUUAGAUACCCUGGUAGUCCACGCUGUAAACGAUGAGUGCUAGGUGUUAGACCCUUUCCGGGGUUUAGUGCCGUAGCUAACGCAUUAAGCAUUCCGCCUGGGGAGUACGACCGCAAGGUUG